GACGAACGCUGGCGGCGUGCCUAAUACAUGCAAGUAGAACGCUGAAGGAGGAGCUUGCUCUUCUGGAUGAGUUGCGAACGGGUGAGUAACGCGUAGGUAACCUGCCUGGUAGCGGGGGAUAACUAUUGGAAACGAUAGCUAAUACCGCAUAACAGUAGAUGUUGCAUGACAUUUACUUAAAAGGUGCAAUUGCAUCACUACCAGAUGGACCUGCGUUGUAUUAGCUAGUUGGUGGGGUAACGGCUCACCAAGGCGACGAUACAUAGCCGACCUGAGAGGGUGAUCGGCCAAACUGAGACUGAGACACGGCCCAGACUCCUACGGGAGGGAGCAGUAGGGAAUCUUCGGCAAUGGACGGAAGUCUGACCGAGCAACGCCGCGUGAGUGAAGAAGGUUUUCGGAUCGUAAAGCUCUGUUGUAAGAGAAGAACGAGUGUGAGAGUGGAAAGUUCACACUGUGACGGUAUCUUACCAGAAAGGGACGGCUAACUACGUG
rnacentral:rRNA from 1 species